rnacentral:lncRNA from 1 species
UUCUUAUUGAAUUAGCCUGAGAUUGUUUUGAUUAUUGCUCUACAUAAAUCCUUAUGAUAACCAUUCUCAUCCGAACUUCUUAGCUGAGCGAUCUACAUGUCUUGCAGAGUAAAAAGUUAUGACUAGCAAAAGUAAAAAUUUUUCCUAAUAAAUAUAGAAGUAUUUAAUAAAUAGAAGUAUUAAAAAAAGUAUUUGGGGGCUGGCCCCGUGGCCGAGUGGUCAAGUUCGCGCGCUCCGCUGCAGGCGGCCCAGUGUUUCGUUGGUUCGAAUCCUGGCGCGGACAUGGCACUGCUCAUCAGACCACGCUGAGGCAGCGUCCCACAUGCCACAACUGGAAGAACCCACAACGAAGAAUACACAACUAUGUACCGGGGGCUUUGGGGAGAAAAUGGAAAAAAUAAAAUCUUAAAAAAAAAAAAAAAAAAGUAUUUAAAAAGCUCUUGCUUUCUUAAAUCUUCACAUGUGUCUACCCCCCCUCCUUUUGCUUCUUCCUUAAAUCUUUUGCUGAUUCAUAAGAUGAUAGAGAAGCAAAGGGCUGGAAAAAAAGGAGUUCUUAAAGCCGAAAUGAAUCUCGUGUUUAAGAGGCCUUUGAAGCUGGGUAUAUUAGAGAGUCAGAAGGAGACAAAAAUCAUGAAGAUCAUGAUGUAAAUGGAGAACAGAAGUAAUAAAAGUAAAAGAUUGGGAGACUUGGAAUGAACCUGAGCUCCAGUAACAAGCUCCAGCCUCUGAAGGGUUAGAGCCACAAGGACAUCAGAAAGAGGAUCAGGGCAGGAAUUCAGGGACUCCUAGCCCUUCAAAGACUUGAGUAUCCUACAGCUGCUAAAAAUACUGAAGAUCUGAAGUGCAGCAAAAACAGGAGGCAGUUCUACUGACAACUUUUCAAAGAGGGGGAGAAAGGAAAAGAGAAGGAGCCACAGAGGGAAUGAAAACCAAGUGGUGCAAAGGAAAGCAAUGUGUGAAUCAGGGAACAGUUUUUAAUCAACAUUCGAUUACACAGAUAUCAUGAUGUCCUAAGGAAUUCUGAUUCUGACAACUAUCUCUAGGGAAAGAAAAUCUCGCUACCUGCUUAUGAACGAUGGUCUAUAUCUCCUAAGAAAAUCUCCACUUAUAUUCAAUUUUGCUCAAGACAUUUGCCAGUGGAGACCAACCACCAUGCUGAGUCAAAGCCGACAUUAGUCCUCACAAAGAAAGUACGCAGAGAGGAACUGGGGACUUCUAACCAAGAGCCAGCAUCAACCACUGGCCUUGUGAGUGAACUUGAUCUCAGAUGAUGACAGCCUCCAGGCUUCAAGCCUUCCAUCUGUUCCCCAAGACUUUGUGGAGUAGAGACAAGCAACCCUGCUAUAAGCUGUCGGAAUUCCUUCCCUUCAAAAAUCUGCAAACAUAAUAAAAGGUUGUUUCAUACCACUAAGUUAGGAAUAAUUUGUUACACAGGCAGAGUUACUGAUAUACCCAUUUUAAACACUAAAAGCCAGGUAGGCUGACAUACUUUUAGAUACUUUUCAGUAACAAUAUCAAGAAGAUUUAGAGAUAUUAUG